rnacentral:rRNA from 1 species
GUCCUAGCCGUAAACGAUGGUCACUAGGUGUUGGGGGUAUCGACCCCCCAGUGCCGAAGCUAACGCAUUAAGUGACCCGCCUGGGGAUUACGGCCGCAAGGCUGAAACUCAAAAGAAUUGACGGGGCCCCGCACAAGCGGUGGAGCAUGUGGCUCAAUUCGAGGCUACACGAAGAACCUUACCACGGCUUGACAUGUGUGGAAUCCCCCGGAAACGGGGGAGUGCCCUUCGGGGAGCCACAACACAGGUGGUGCAUGGCUGUCGU